rnacentral:lncRNA from 1 species
GAUAAAUUCCCAUCAAAAGGGUAUUUCAUAUAUACUAAGGAGUUCUUUAAUUGUGGAGUAGGCUAAACUAAUUUGCUUCUUUGUUGCUACAUUUAAUUCUCUCUUGCAGCCAAAGUAAUUGUUGGAUAUGGGCUUCACCCACAAAAUGCCAUUUGGCCCAAAAAGAGACCCAACUAUUUAUCGGGCCUGUUGUCUCUCCAAUUCAGCCCAUCAAGCUUGGAGGGUAAAAUGGUAAUUUACUGAGGGAACAGAAGAGACCUUAGGUCACAAUGAUUGUCCUAUAAAUAAGACACUAUUGGUAACAAGAAGACCCGGUGGUUAAUAUCCAGAGGAUUGGAGAAUCAUUCACAGCGUAAACUUUCGUUCGUAGUUCUCUUCGUAAACUUUCGUUCGUUAGUCAUAGUUCUUUGCGUAUACAUUCGUUGGUUGUUCGUAGCUCAUCGUCUGUACGUUCGUCAUUUCUCCCUGUAACUAACCGAUCUCGUUCGUCGUUAAUAAAGAAGUUACUUCGUUCUCCCCGAAAAUCCUAUAGUUAUUCGUUGUUACAACCUCGGUACAAACAAUUGGCGCCCACCGUGGGGCAAGUUCGAAGCUUUUCUUUGGACAAACGACGUUGAUGUCCCAAGAAGAUCAAGACGACAUG